GAGUUUGAUCCUGGCUCAGGAUGAACGCUAGCUACAGGCUUAACACAUGCAAGUCGAGGGGGCAUCAUUAUCGAAGCUUGCUUUGAUAGAUGGCGACCGGCGCACGGGUGAGUAACGCGUAUCCAACCUUCCCCUUAGUAGAGGAUAGCCCGGCGAAAGUCGGAUUAAUACUCUAUGUUGUAUUUUGAGGACAUCUGACGAAUACCAAAGAUUUAUCGCUAAGGGAUGGGGAUGCGUCUGAUUAGCUUGUCGGCGGGGUAACGGCCCACCGAGGCGACGAUCAGUAGGGGUUCUGAGAGGAAGGUCCCCUACAUUGGUACUGAGACACGGACCAAACUCCUACGGGAGGCAGCAGUGAGGAAUAUUGGUCAAUGGGCGUAGGCCUGAACCAGCCAAGUAGCGUGCAGGAAGACUGCCCUAUGGGUUGUAAACUGCUUUUAUGCGGGAAUAAAGUCAGGUACGUGUACCUGUUUGCAUGUGCCGCAUGAAUAAGGACCGGCUAAUUCCGUGCCAGCAGCCGCGGUAAUACGGAAGGUCCGGGCGUUAUCCGGAUUUAUUGGGUUUAAAGGGAGCGCAGGCGGAGGAUUAAGCGUGACGUGAAAUGUCCCGGCUCAACCGUGGAACUGCGUCGCGAACUGGUUUUCUUGAGUGAGUGCGACGUCGGCGGAAUUUGUCGGUGUAGCGGUGAAAUGCUUAGAUAUCACGAAGAACCCCGAUUGCGAAGGCAGCCGACGAGUCCUUAACUGACGCUAAAGCUCGAAAGUGCGGGUAUCGAACAGGAUUAGAUACCCUGGUAGUCCGCAUCGGUAAACGAU
rnacentral:rRNA from 1 species